AUAUCAGUAAGCGGAGGAAAAGAAACUAACAAGGAUUGCCCCAGUAGCAGCGAGUGAACAGGCAAAAGCUCAAAAUCAAAAUCCUGGGCCCCUCAGGCCUUGGAAUUGUAAUCUAGAGAAGUAGCCCGAUGGAUGCCAGGUCGCGUAAGUUCCUUGGAAGAGGAUGUCACAGAGGGUGAAAACCCGUAGUCAGCUGACCUCGUGCACCGUAGGGAUGCUUUCAAAGAGUCGGGUUGUUUGGGAUUGCAGCCCUAAAUGGGAGAUAGACUUCUUCUAAGGCUAAAUAUAUAUGGGAGACCGAUAGCGCACAAGUA
rnacentral:rRNA from 1 species